UACGUAGGGUGCAAGCGUUAAUCGGAAUUACUGGGCGUAAAGCGUGCGCAGGCGGUUUUGUAAGUCUGUCGUGAAAUCCCCGGGCUCAACCUGGGAAUUGCGAUGGAGACUGCAAGGCUAGAAUCUGGCAGAGGGGGGGUAGAAUUCCACGUGUAGCAGUGAAAUGCGUAGAUAUGCGGAGGAACACCCGAUGGCGAAGGCAAUCCCCUGGGCCUGCACUGACGCUCAUGCACGAAAGCGUGGGGAGCAAACAGG
rnacentral:rRNA from 1 species